UGGAUGACUGCAUCCGGAUGACCUCGGAGU
rnacentral:sRNA from 1 species